UACGGAGGGGGCUAGCGUUGUUCGGAAUUACUGGGCGUAAAGCGCACGUAGGCGGAUCGAUCAGUCAGGGGUGAAAUCCCAGAGCUCAACUCUGGAACUGCCUUUGAUACUGUCGAUCUGGAGUAUGGAAGAGGUGAGUGGAAUUCCGAGUGUAGAGGUGAAAUUCGUAGAUAUUCGGAGGAACACCAGUGGCGAAGGCGGCUCACUGGUCCAUUACUGACGCUGAGGUGCGAAAGCGUGGGGAGCAAACAGG
rnacentral:rRNA from 1 species